AUUGAACGCUGGCGGAAUGCCUUACACAUGCAAGUCGAACGGCAGCACGGACUUCGGUCUGGUGGCGAGUGGCGAACGGGUGAGUAAUAUAUCGGAACGUGCCCAGUCGUGGGGGAUAACGUAGCGAAAGCUACGCUAAUACCGCAUACGAUCUACGGAUGAAAGCGGGGGAUCGCAAGACCUCGCGCGAUUGGAGCGGCCGAUAUCAGAUUAGGUAGUUGGGGAGGUAAAGGCUCACCAAGCCGACGAUCUGUAGCUGGUCUGAGAGGACGACCAGCCACACUGGGACUGAGACACGGCCCAGACUCCUACGGGAGGCAGCAGUGGGGAAUUUUGGACAAUGGACGCAAGUCUGAUCCAGCCAUUCCGCGUGCAGGACGAAGGCCUUCGGGUUGUAAACUGCUUUUGUACUGAACGAAAAGGUCUCUAUUAAUACUAGGGGCUCAUGACGGUACUGUAAGAAUAAGCACCGGCUAACUACGUGCCAGCCGCCGCCGUAAUAC
rnacentral:rRNA from 1 species